rnacentral:pre_miRNA from 1 species
CUUGAGUUGUCUCUCAUGUCUAGACCAUUUGUGAGAAGGGAGUUUUUGUUUGCACCAAUACCCACCAAUCUCUAAAUUUGUAAGAAGUAUUAUGCUCAAUUAAGGAAAAUAGUAGUUCAACAUACCACACUACCCUUUUAAGUAGUAUCAUCCUAUAUGUUAUAUGCUACCUUAGCUAAAUUUUGCGUUCUCAUGGUGCUGCAGUAGGGUUAGUUUCUUGUGUACCUCUAGAUAUACAUUCUCUUGCUGCGUAGGGUUCCCAAGCUGUCAAAACUAGUGAUCAGUUCCCCUUGAUAUUCUGAUCCUUCAGAAGUUAGGUAUAGAAGUAAGUCGAUUAAGUUCAUUCAUGACUUUUCCAGAUGUUGCAUACAUAACUUUUUUUCAUUUGUAUUCGAACUAGUCCAAGCCGAUUCUCAAAAUCAUAUAAAAUCAUUUACACCUUGGUCAUGGUAGCUAAGAAUAUUGUAUCUAAAAUUGGGGAGUGGGGAGAUGUUUGGUUAUAUUCCCUUCUCAUCGAUGGUCUAGAUGUGCGAGGUGACUUUCAUGAACA